AAUAAGUGUAGUUUUGCACUAUUCAUGUUUUACGUUUGACUGUUCGUCUUAUUUAAAAUUUUUUUAUAAUUAGUACUUUUAUUACUAUUAGAUGAUAAAACAUGAAGAGUAGUUUAUGUGUGACUAAAUAUUUUUUAAUUUUUCACAAAUUUUUCAGAAAAGACGGACGGUCAAAUAUUGGGCACGGAUAUUCACGACUGCACUUAUU
rfam:Oryza glaberrima chromosome 1 Oglab01_0302_11, whole genome shotgun sequence.